UACGAAGGGGGCUAGCGUUGUUCGGAAUCACUGGGCGUAAAGGGCGCGUAGGCGGCUUUAUAAGUCGGGGGUGAAAGCCUGUGGCUCAACCACAGAAUUGCCUUCGAUACUGUAGAGCUUGAGCACGGUAGAGGCAGAUGGAAUUCCCGGUGUAGCGGUGGAAUGCGUAGAGAUCGGGAAGAACAUCGGUGGCGAAGGCGGUCUGCUGGGCCGUUGCUGACGCUGAGGCGCGACAGCGUGGGGAGCAAACGAGGAU
rnacentral:rRNA from 1 species